UUUGGGCGGGAACGGCCGUUGGUCGGGGCGCGAGGGCGCGGCGGGGCCGCCGACGCCGCCUCCCUUCCGCGGGCCCCGGAGCCUGUGCUGGGCCCCCCGCCGCGGCCCGUCCCCUCCUUCCUGCGGCAGCGCCUCUCACCCCGUUUCUCCAGCUCUGCUACAUAAAGAAGCGGGGCUGGAGCGCUGGAGCUGCCCAUGCCCGGGAUGGGAGCAGGGGGCCGCCGUUCCCCUGAGGUGGCCGGGGAGGUUCCUGGCUGCCAGGAGCAGAGCGGGAGCGCGGAGCGUGACGGUGAGGUCGCCAGGGCACGUUAGCUCUUUGGCCGCGCAUCCCUGCCGCUUGUCGCUGCGGCGGUACUGCCAGGCAUCGAGCGGAACAGCCGCGAGGCCCUGGAAGCGGUGUGAGGUGCUGGGGCUGGACUGCCCUUCCCCGGGACGUCACAGUCGGCGAUAACGGCCGAGGUGGGCAUAGCUGCGUGGAGGCGUUAAUGGAAGCGUUGCAGCGUUGCAGGAAGGGCUUUGGAGCCUUUACCACGGAGGAAGGCAGAUUGCUGAAGGACGAUGAUGGCCAGCUGAAGAAGAGGGCGGACAUCCUCAGCCGCAGCCUCGUUAACCGGAGGGGAGAAGGUCGAGGUUCUUACAUAAGAUUGCUGACAUAAAGACAUAGGCAGCUAUAAAUCAUACCAAGAGCGGCAAAGGUCAGGGUUGAUCAGAAGGUGUUUCCUUGUAAUUCAAGGGUAAAGGUAACAGGCGAAAAGACUGCUGAACUGGCUGUAAGGUGGAUCACGAAGCUGUGUGACCUUAACCACGCAGCGCAUGGGACUGCGGGGAGCACGGGACAAAGCAAUAAAGUUCUUGGCAUGCGUGAGAACAGCUUUUGAUACAGAAAGGUCGUGGGGUUUGUUUUGGGGUUGAUUCUGGCAGAUGGGAAAGAAAUGGUUGGGAGCGUGCUCUCCGAUGGUAGCCGAGAAGACGGGAAUUAUUCUUAGGGAAAAACAGCCAAGCACAGGAAAUAGACCUCAGGAAAGCCCAUCUGAGCUGUUGCUUUGUAGAACUGACAAAUGAGAGCAGUAUGGGCUAAAUCCCUGGACAUCUGCUUUCGUGGGAUUCCCGCUCCUCCGUCCCCAGCAGCUGAGGCUGGACGCUGCAGCCGGGCCCCAGCCUGGAAGGGUCUGAUCCGUUCGGCUCUGGCCGAGCAGCGACGCUGGCUUGGAGAGCAGCGGGAAGCGCGUAAGAGGAGAGGCAGUUAGGGAGAGGAGCUGGGAGAGCAAGGUGCACAGGAGGCGGCGGAAGAGGAGGCUGCUGCGGGACGGAGGCCUCCCAGGGUCACCCGUUGCUGCCGCGCCACCCGGGCAGACCGAGGUGGCCAGGCUGGCCCAAGGGCAAGGAGAGGCGCAGGGGGCACUGGGGUAAAUGGUUAGGGAUCGUAGCCCCUCCCAGCCGAAGGCAGCCCUUCCCACGCGGGCACCGGACUCCCGUGCGGCGGGAGGAAGGCUUCCUUCCUCGCACUCGGCGCUGGCUUCGCCGCGGUCCUUGUCCCCAAGCGGUGGGACGCUCGGCAGGUCUUUACGGUGAUAAAAGAAGCUGGUUCUCAGUUACAAGGAUGACCUUUAUGAAAGCGUCCCGUCCCCGCCGGUCUGGCAGAUGUGGAAAACGGAGGUGGCUGGGACACCCUAACAAGCGCUCAGCUGCCGAGACUCUGUACCCCGAAACGUCUGGAGGGUGACGUGUACUCUGCGCACAACUGUCCCUCGGCCGUCCGCCGCCCUGGUGGCCACAGCUCAGUGAGUCCGUCGCCUUCCGGGGACAGGAGGCCUUUUGGUCUGGAGCAGCGGAGAGUGGAACAGGCGUCGCUGAGAAACGUCGUCGAGUUCCUUACGGUUAAUCUGGAAGUGACAUCAGUCUGUGCAACCUUCCUUCCCCAGAGCCCUUGGUCUGAACAAGUUCUGAAUCUCAGUGUACUUUUAACAUCAGAAUAGGAUUCCUUUCGGAUCAGUUCAGCUUGAGACUAUUCGCUGGUAACAGUGGAGAAGAAACAGUCUAAAAAGAACCUUAAAAUCACUAAAAUACUUUGCAGUUAUUAUACAGUCUUUGCAUGGAGCCAUAGCUACGCAGUAUUAGGACUUCUGCUGCGAGUAGUGAGAAGAAAAGUUGUUAGUCCACCCCCAGCCCAGCUAAAGCUCACGCUGCAGGUGUGUUUGAUCUCUUACUGUAGACUGCAGCGAGUUUUAGCUGCGUGUGCAGCUAGAGAAACCUGACAGGGCAAAGCACUCCGCUUAAUUUAAUCACUCUAAACUACAAAUUAAUCUUUUGAAUUUAGUUUGCCGUAGCUUGGCAGGCCCCAGGGUCGGUUUUACGGUGGAGAAGAUGCCCUUAAGUAGAAGACCUGAGUCCCAUCAGUGAAAUGGCAUUCUUGGCAACACGCUGUUCUUGAGAGCUUUUGUUGCAAGCUCACGCAAAACCGCUCCAGCGACGAGCCAGCAGGGACGAGCAAAGCAACGCAGAAAGACUGGCUGCUGCGUUACCUGCUCCGCUACGGAGGGGCCCGAAAGGAUGGAACAAAGCUGCGGCAGGUUUGCAGUGUCACAAGAGCUCGUUCUUCCAAAAAACGCCUUGCCGCGUUCCUGGUGUGGUGAACGUUCAUAGGUUCGCUCUGGCUUUGCACCUGUUUUGGAGCUAGGCCUACAUGCCGUUAGUCUUGCGUUUUCCUACUCCAUAUUUAUAGAUUAAAUUACAGUAUACGUAGACAAAACACCUUGGGGAUCCACCACCCCGAGCCUCCUGCCAUCCCAGAGCAGCUGUCUGCUGCCGUGCGGUCUCUGUCUGCACCUUUCCCCUGGCUGUUUGUAUCGCUUCAUUUUGCUGAUGCGCGGGUUGGUGUGGAUUGUGAGGUGGGAAGGAAAUAGUUCAUACUGAAACACGCACGCUGAAUUGCCAUAAGAAUGGGGAGUUUUACACCUCACUUAAGCAAAUUGUUAAUUAGUCUGUCAAACACAGGAGACGACAUCUGGUUUAACGAAGGGAUGUUUGCAUUUUGCAGGGAAGUGAAACAAAGCUGAUCUUAAUUAAGCGGGAUGGGCUGACUAUCUCUUUUGGGUACAAAAUGUCAGUUUUGAGGAGAAAGCUCAAAUCUGCUUGUACCGCCCGGAGGGCUACGGAGAGGAGGCUGGUUAUGAAGGCUGAAGAAAGGAUUCCCUUGUACGGACACAACCUGAGCAGAUGGUGUGCAAAAAGGUACAGUCGGCAGGGCGGCUGUCGGGAGAGGGGGGCGAGUGCUGGAGCAGAGCUGGCCAUUAAGGACGUGGUUUAGAAAGAUGAUUUGAGGUCACGGUUGCCGUUGCAAGGUUAAGCCUCGGUUGCCAGGGCUCCCUGGCUGCUGCGAGCCUGCUCGUGGCCCUGGGGGCUCAGGAACGCUCCCGGCUGCUCGGCUGCACCCCGGCCAGCUUUCCUCCUCCGCAGGAGAGACUUUUUACCCCAAAAAGCUUGUGUUACCACCUUCAAACUGGGUACGGUUUGCAUCCGAAUAGGGCUCACACUACAAAAAAGGGAAACUUCAAAAAAAUCCGUGGCGCUCACGGUGCGAUAGCAGCUUUUGACCCUCGUGGACGUUUUCCUGCAACAAGCAGCUGCCUGUGAAGGGCUGGAAGACGCAUGCGACGACUUUGUGGCUCCCGAGUGCUGCUCCAAGGAGCGAUCCAGCCAAUAUGACGCCCCCCCGCCAGCCGGGACAUCGAUAUUUGUGCCGGGAAAAGGGCCGGAGGUUCCCGCGUGCGUUACAGUCGGAGGAGCGACGCCAACGCCGAGGGUCCUGCCCGCACCAGCCCGGGAGAGCCGCCGCGGGAAACGCUCUAGCAGAGCGGGUGACCCGCGCCGGGGACGGCCAGUCCCAGUUCAAACAGCAUCAAACCGCUUCGCACGGGAAUGAUCUUUAUCAGGGUUUCUCGCUGUUGGGAACAGCGUGAGGCUCUGACCCCCGCCGCUGGGGCACGGAGAGGGCCAGAACGCCCCGCGAUGUCCGUGGAGGGCACGGGUUGCGGCUCGCCGAGCCGUCGGAGGAGGCAGAGGUGCCGCCGAGGCUCGCCGGAAAACCUCGCCCCGGCAGCCCGUUGAAAAGGGCUGGGAAGCUUCACCGCGGCGUGCCGGGACGUGGCAAACUGUGCCGUUAGCAACACCGGUUGGCGGAGAAACAGUCGGGCGGCGGUAGGCCCUCGGAUGCCUGCUCGCUGUUGGGGCUUGUCCGCCCGAGCGGUCAGGCGGCAGUUAGAGCGGUUACAGGUAAUGGGGGAUGACUGCACGGCAAACAAUGCGCAGGCUGUUCUCCCCGCGCCAAGUCGGCUGCCUCGCCAAGGCAGGCUCUCGCAGAGCUCACGCUCGCAGCCUCGCCUGGCUCCGAGAAAAGGAGGUAAAGGACAGGUGCCAGAGAUCUUGUCUCAGCAAAACAGCCGGUCUUUAGGCAAAACCCUCAAAUAUGGUGUUUUUAUCCUGAAAACGGUCUAAUUUGCAUAGGUAUUCAUAAACCGUGCCUGCCAGUUA